CUGGAGGAUCGUGUCAGAAAAGCCAUAUGCUACCAAGAGUUCCUGGAGAGAGCCACAAUAAUGUCCGGAAAGUUUGAGAGCAUUGGUCAAGUCAUUGACCGUCUUCACACACUCCAGUCCAUCAACAAGGAACUUCUAGAAAGCCAAACUAGGUUAGAGAAGGAGAGAGAAAGCACAAAGCUGAAACUGAUACAGUACAUAAAUAAACUGCGAACUGUUCUCCUGCACUGUAACAACCAACUGCACCAGCAACAGACGCAGCUAGACACCAUACGCUUAGAAGCAUACAAAUGGGAAUUAAAACUGAAGCACUUCCAUUCCACUGCAGCAAAAGAGACGCUCCAGUUUGCUCAGCUAAAGGCCACAAUCCGUAACAUUUAUCAGAUGAUCACACAUUACAGAAGAGUCUCUGUGGACACUGAGGACACCUUCAAGCAGCUGGAAAUGAUUCAGAAAUAUUUUCAGUUUAUGAGAGCUAUAGAUGAUGAACUGAAGUUCAACAUUAUAACAAGGCCGAAUCGAACUGAAGGGAAUGACAGCGGAGAUUAAGACUCAAGCUCUGUGUAUCCACAGU
rnacentral:lncRNA from 1 species